UACGGAGGAUUCGAGCGUUAUCCGGAUUUAUUGGGUUUAAAGGGAGCGUAGGCGGGUUGUUAAGUCAGUUGUGAGAGUUUGCGGCUCAACCGUAAAAUUGCAGUUGAUACUGGCAUCCUUGAGUACAGUAGAGGUAGGCGGAAUUCGUGGUGUAGCGGUGAAAUGCUUAGAUAUCACGAAGAACUCCGAUUGCGAAGGCAGCCUGCUGGACUGUAACUGACGCUGAUGCUCGAAAGUGUGGGUAUCAAACAGG
rnacentral:rRNA from 1 species